CGAUAGCGUAUAUUAAAGUUGUUGCAGUUAAAAAGCUCGUAGUUGAAGAUACGAACGCUUACACUAGAACAAAGUUUCCGGUGUCUGCGUUCACUUUUCGCAAAGACAGCCUGGCCCGUUAGUUUGGGUCUUGUUUGAGUUGCGUCAUUUACUGUGAACAAAUUAGGGUGUUUAAAGCAGGCCUACGUUUGAAUACACUAGCAUGGAAUAAUAAGAUAUGAUCUUGGUCGUAUUUUGUUGGUGACUACCAAGAUAAUGAUUGAUAGAAACUGUUGUGGGUAUUCGUAUGAGCAUGUCAGAGGUGAAAUUCUUGGAUUUUGAUCAGACGAACUACUGCGAAAGUAUUUACCAAGGAUGUUUUCAUUAA
rnacentral:rRNA from 1 species